ACUGAUGGAGAGGGGCACUUAGAGCAAGAUACCCGACCUUGACUGGGGACCAAGCACGAAAUCCCUAAGAGGUGACAGGAAGAGAGAAGUCUGAAACGUUAAGUGAGUUAACCAGAUGGUGUCAGAAGUGGAAUCCAAAGAAGAGCUAACAACCCCCAGGAGCGCUGAGCGUGGUUCCCACUCGGCCCAUUGUGCCCAUUGCUCUCUUGGAGCAGCUGGGGAUCGUGAGUUUCGCUCUUGUUUCCCAGGCUAGAGUACAAUGGCACAAUCACGGGUCACCGCAACCUCCACCCCCUGGGCUCAAGUGAUUCCCCUGCCUCAGCCUCCUGAGUAGCUGGGAUUACAGAAUUUGAUCAGAGAAGCUGAACCACUACAAGCAAUGUUAAGAAUUUAUUGCUGGAAUACCCCUUACACAAUUGAGAGAGCCAGUUAAGCUAUGUGAGCCUGCUACCCCUAGAACUGGAGCUGGGCUUGAAGUCUGUAAGACUAGGAAGGAAUGAGGAGGGCAGGACCAAAGUGGAACCUGUGAAGGUAAACUUGGCAUCCAUAUCUGUUUCUCAGCUGAACUGGCAGUGGUAUCUCAGCACCUCCAAGCCUCCAACUUUGAUGAUGUUCUGCAAAAGAGCUUGAACAAAUUGCCAAAACAUCAGCCCCUGACAUGAGCAGCUUUCAGAAAAACUGAAGGAGGAGAUCCAGGGGCAGUUUGAGAAGCUGCCAACCAAGCUGCUGCACUAUGCAGAUCCACCACAAUGUCAUAAACUGUGUGAGCAGCAACAGUGCGUGACCCCACACAGGUCUGAGUGUAAUUCUGGCUGCUGGAUUCCAGUUAGACUUUAAAUUCCAUGCAAAUUUCACUUGUGGCAAAUCUUAACUUAGAACUGAACAUGGAAGAGAAUACUGAGAAACUUAGAUCCAACUAACCUGACAGUUUACAAAGCCACCACAGUCUAUCUUUUGUGAAGUCAUCGUCCAAUAUAUAUCCCUCUUUUAAUUAUACUAAACUCCCAAAUAAAUGCAAUGGCAAAAUCAUGAGUCUACCUAAUAGGAUUCAACCAUACUCUGUAUAACCAAAACUCACUCCCCUUUCCCAAAAGAGGAUUCAGAGUCUUUUUUGGCUGAUAUUUAUUCCUCUUCUUACUGAACCAUGCUUUCUCAAAUGCUUAGAUAUAAUGCUUGCUACUAUGAAAACAUGUUAGAUGGUAGAGGUACGGGAGGGAGAAUGAAAAAAAAUGACAUGUAUAAGAAAGAAAGAAAAUGAGUUACAUAUGUGUAUACACACAUGUAUGUAUUUAUAUUCAUAUCAAAAUAAGGAAGAAAUAUUAAUGAUUAUCAUUUCCUUUCUGCAACUUGAAAAAUUGUCAUAGCUGAUACUUAUAAUGACCAUUUUCCAAUAUACCUUUUAUAUCCCCUAUGACCUGGGUAAGCACCUUGAUGGGUGAUGCUUCCUUGCUUUGUAGGGUGACCUAAAUCUUUAUUUUUGAAGGUGUAGUCAUUAGAACUGCGGCCUCUAUUGAGUCAUUCUAGUUUCCACUGACUUUAACGACUGGACAUGGGAGUUCUAAGCAAUACCCUAUGAAAUUUCCUGAAUUCAGGAAUACUCUUCCUUAUCCCCAAUGUGUAGUAGUAACCCAAUUUUUCAUUGAUAUUCACUCAAUUUUUCAUUGAUAUUCGAGAUCAAUCUAGCAAAUACAAUAAAUCUCAUUUUUGCCUGUC